rnacentral:rRNA from 1 species
GAUGAACGCUGGCGGCGUGCCUAACACAUGCAAGUCGAGCGGACGGACGAGAAGCUUGCUUCUCUGAUGUUAGCGGCGGACGGGUGAGUAACACGUGGAUAACCUACCUAUCAGACUGGGAUAACUUCGGGAAACCGGAGCUAAUACCGGAUAAUAUUUUGAACCGCAUGGUUCAAAAGUGAAAGACGGUCUGCUGGGAUGUAUUCGCGGAUCCGCGCCGUAUUAGCUAGUUGGUUAGGUAACGGCUUACCAAGGGAACGAUGCCUAGCCGACCUGAGAGGGUGAUCGGCCACACUGGAACUGAGACACGGUCCAGACUCCUACGGGAGGCAGCAGUAGGGAAUCUUCCGCAAUGGGCGAAAGCCUGACGGAGCAACGCCGCGUGAGUGAUGAAGGUCUUCGGAUCGUAAAACUCUGUUAUUAGGGAAGAACAUAUGUGUAAGUAACUGUGCACAUCUUGACGGUACCUAAUCAGAAAGCCACGGCUAACUACGUG